rnacentral:rRNA from 1 species
AGUGAACGCUGGCGGUAGGCCUAACACAUGCAAGUCGUACGGCAGCACAGUAAGAGCUUGCUCUUACGGGUGGCGAGUGGCGGACGGGUGAGGAAUACAUCGGAAUCUACUUUUUCGUGGGGGAUAACGUAGGGAAACUUACGUUAAUACCGCAUACGACCUACGGGUGAAAGCAGGGGAUCUUCGGACCUUGCGCGAUUGAAUGAGCCGAUGUCGGAUUAGCUAGUUGGCGGGGUAAAGGCCCACCAAGGCGACGAUCCGUAGCUGGUCUGAGAGGAUGAUCAGCCACACUGGAACUGAGACACGGUCCAGACUCCUACGGGAGGCAGCAGUGGGGAAUAUUGGACAAUGGGCGCAAGCCUGAUCCAGCCAUACCGCGUGGGUGAAGAAGGCCUUCGGGUUGUAAAGCCCUUUUGUUGGGAAAGAAAAGCAGCAGGUUAAUACCCCGCUGUUCUGACGGUACCCAAAGAAUAAGCACCGGCUAACUUCGUG